rnacentral:rRNA from 1 species
UGCAAGUCGAGCGGACCGACGGGAGCUUGCUCCCUUAGGUCAGCGGCGGACGGGUGAGUAACACGUGGGUAACCUGCCUGUAAGACUGGGAUAACUCCGGGAAACCGGGGCUAAUACCGGAUGCUUGAUUGAACCGCAUGGUUCAAUCAUAAAAGGUGGCUUUUAGCUACCACUUACAGAUGGACCCGCGGCGCAUUAGCUAGUUGGUGAGGUAACGGCUCACCAAGGCGACGAUGCGUAGCCGACCUGAGAGGGUGAUCGGCCACACUGGGACUGAGACACGGCCCAGACUCCUACGGGAGGCAGCAGUAGGGAAUCUUCCGCAAUGGACGAAAGUCUGACGGAGCAACGCCGCGUGAGUGAUGAAGGUUUUCGGAUCGUAAAACUCUGUUGUUAGGGAAGAACAAGUACCGUUCGAAUAGGGCGGCACCUUGACGGUACCUAACCAGAAAGCCACGGCUAACUACGUGCCAGCAGCCGCGGUAAUACGUAGGUGGCAAGCGUUGUCCGGAAUUAUUGGGCGUAAAGCGCGCGCAGGCGGUUUCUUAAGUCUGAUGUGAAAGCCCCCGGCUCAACCGGGGAGGGUCAUUGGAAACUGGGGAACUUGAGUGCAGAAGAGGAGAGUGGAAUUCCACGUGUAGCGGUGAAAUGCGUAGAGAUGUGGAGGAACACCAGUGGCGAAGGCGACUCUCUGGUCUGUAACUGACGCUGAGGCGCGAAAGCGUGGGGAGCGAACAGGAUUAGAUACCCUGGUAGUCCACGCCGUUAACGAUGAGUGCUAAGUGUUAGAGGGUUUCCGCCCUUUAGUGCUGCAGCAAACGCAU